rnacentral:lncRNA from 1 species
CAGGAACUGGGUUAGAGUUUCUGGAGGAGCCGCCUGCAAGAGGAGGGCGUAGUUGUGGGAAAGAGCUGUGGGUGGAACUGGUUAAGUGCUGGGAGGAGGAAGAGCUGGGGGCGGAACAUCUGGGGCGGAGCUGCUGGAGGAGGAGCUGGGGGUGGAGAUGCUGGUGAAAUGAAGCAGAGCCGAACUGGGGGUGAAGCUGUGGGUGGAGCUGGGGGAGGGAGCUGAGGCCCUUCUGUGAUGCACCCUUAGGCAAGAGUCAAAACUUGCCCGCAGCGACCUAACUGCACCUCCAGUGUCUACCCCCAGAGGGCACGGAAGCAGCAAGAAGGGCGGGAACACUUGACUGGGGUCCAUGCAGCUCUAGGCUGUGUCUUGCAGGGCUGAGCCCCCCAGGCCUGCUCUCAUGUGUCCUAGCCGCUCUGUCAGUGCCUGCCAGUGGGGUCCAGAGGAACCGUCUCUUUAACGUCUCUUUUGCAGUCUCCCGCAUUGACUUCAUAACCAAGUUCUGGGUCCCUGCCACUGGAGUGCCUGAUGAGACAAAACGGCUCCUCGUCCUGCAUCCCCGCUGCUACUUCCAGAAUUCAGGCCUCGUGGCCUGGAGCCUGCACUGUUCCAUGAGCCCCCUGACCAACCUGGAGGCCUCUGUCUUUCUUCCCUCGGUGAGAUGCGCCUACUUCUCCCUGGAGAAGCUCGAGGAAGCAGAAAUGCUGGAGAUGAGCUGCUCCUCACUCUCACUCCUGGGUGUGCUGGGCAGUGGGGUGCAAUGCGCACGUAGGUGCACACUCUCCCUGGGCGGCAGCGAGCAGCAGAGGUCUGAUCUGUGGUCGGAUGAGGAGAGGAAGUGCAAGUAAAGCAGCUGCAGCGGUCAGCACCAAACCCAAAAACGCUCUGAUUUCUGCCUUCCAUGCCACACUCUCUUCACCUGCUGCCUUCUCACUCCUCUCAUUAACAAUGUCCUGGCAGGAACAAGACUUUCCCGUCCCUCUCUUCUCGUCUCUUAGCAGGUCAGGUCGGCCUUCACCUCCCUAGACCCGUCCUGCUCCUGCCUUCCCCUGUGGGGCCCUCCGUGGAUGCUCUGGAGUCCCGGGCAGUAGUCAGCCAACUGCAGGCAUGCGGGGCCUUCUCGGGUUCCUUGCUGUGCUCCCUUGAAACCACUGUGCCUGGCUGCACCCCAGUAGCACACACUCAACUGACCCCCACUCCUGGGGCCAGCGGUGUGUUUCCUCAAGUUCUGCUUGCUUCUUCAGGCCUUGCUUGCAUGCCUAUCAUGCCACACAUCAUAUCUCUUUUAGGAAGUCCUUGCCUUUUCCAAAGAUCCUGCUUUGCAGCUGACUGUACCCUCUGCCUGCCUCCCCCAGGAUACUGCCUCCUUCCUGAAACCACAGCCCCCGCUCAGGUCUUCCUUCCUUCCUCAUCACCAGGGAGCCCCCUGCAGAGCUCCCUGUCCAUCCCGGUGGCCUUCUGAGCCUCGCCUC